UUCUUUUUAUUGUGUAAAUAAAUUAAAAACCAAGAAUACUGUGCAUGAACUAUUACCAUAUUUAGACUUCCGAGUGCAGAUGUAUGCUGUCGAGUCUACCUAUACUGCUGAUUAGAUAUUGCUUAUUAAAACAACAUUUGUAUCAUUUCCUGUAAGCUUGCAUUUUUAUAUUGAAUAUUCGAAUAGAAUACUCAUUGCUGUAUCCAUGUAUUAACGCAACAGUGGACAGCGUAAAUAACAUUGGCAUAUAUAAUGUUAUCAAGCAGGAGAUUUGUAGAAACAGCUUA